AAGGGUGUGUAGGUGGUAAUGUAAGUUAGGUGUGAAAUCCUCGGGCUUAACCUGAGAAUUGCGCUUAAUACUGCAUUUCUAGAGUACUGCAGAGGGCAGUGGAAUUUCCAGUGUAGCGGUGAAAUGCGUAGAUAUUGGAAGGAACACCAGUGGCGAAGGCGACUGCCUGGAUAGAUACUGACACUGAGACACGAAAGCGUGGGUAGCAAACAGGAUUAGAUACCCUGGUAGUCCACGCUGUAAACGAUGAGAACUUGCUGUUGGGUGCAUGAAAGCACUUAGUAGCGGAGCUAACGCGUUAAGUUCUCCGCCUGGGGAGUACGGCCGCAAGGUUAAAACUCAAAGGAAUUGACGGGGGCCCGCACAAGCGGUGGGGCAUGUGGUUUAAUUCGAUGCAACGCGAAGAACCUUACCUACCUUUGAAUCCAUGGAAUCUGGCAGAAAUGUCGGAGUGCCUUCGGGAACCAUGAGACAGGUGCUGCAUGGCUGUCGUCAGCUCGUGUCGUGAGAUGUUGGGUUAAGUCCCGUAACGAGCGCAACCCUUGUCCUUAGUUGCCAGCGAGUAAUGUCGGGAACUCUAGGGAGACUGCCGGUGACAAACCGGAGGAAGGUAGGGACGACGUCAAGUCAUCAUGGCCCUUACAGGUAGGGCUACACACGUGCUACAAUGGCCGGUACAAAAGGAAGCGAAGUC
rnacentral:rRNA from 1 species